UCCAGCUUUGGUCAUAGAGCACAAUGACCGACACACAUUAAUGAAAAUGAAAAAUUACCUGCAGAUUCAAAAUCAGGAAGUAUCGGAUAAACUCGGCAGCUGUGGAAGGAGAAACAGUCAAAUUGUAACCCAGCCUUUGUCAGAUUUCAAUAGAACUAAAUGUUAGAAGUAAAAUGGCGUUUUUCAUUUCCCGAAAUCAGAGAUUUUCAGAAACGCUCUCCAGGGUGUGUAAUUUUGAAAGCACCACUUAGCCGGAGCAGUGUGGACGGGAUAACCAGAGAAAUCUAAAAACGCUGUCAUGAUGUGCCGGAGCAGAUGUUGACGAUCAUUGAAAAUUGCAAGUAAGCACUGUCUGAGAAAACGGACAACAUCGGCCUUCGUUCAGUCAUCUGCUACCUCAGUCUCAAGGGCUUAUCACUCAAGGAGGUUCAUGAGGACAUGGCACAGAACAGUACCUGAAAAUAUUACAAGUAUGAAUCACAUGGAGAAGCCUUACACAUCGGGAAUCACUGCUACAAUUUCAAGUCCACAAUUUUUGGAAAUAAUGACAUUCACUAGACCAGUUAGGAAUCAGCCUCUUCGCUCUGCAUCUGGAGGCACCUAAAGAUCUGUUAGAUAAGGAUGAGGAUUUCCUUUUUUAAAAGUUAACAGGAGCUUUCUCUUGGCAGAACAACAAGACUUCUUGGGAGUUUUCCCCAUCUCUGAGGUGAACCACUCUAUAGUUCCAAAUUCCUAUAUCUGGUACUUGUCAGUCUCAGUGUAAAUGGCAGCAAUCAAAGAAAAUUGUGGAUUCUUAUUGCACUCCAGACAGCUGAAAAUGGGAUCUAAGAUGACAACAAUGCCAAAACUGAAGCUUACUUUACUGUUAGAGGUGCUGUGGUUCAUGUGGGACACUAAACAAUUAGGUGCUUUUUAAAAAAAAAUGUCAUUAGUACCUAGUAAUUUUCUUAUAGAAAGGAUUUCAAUUCCAUCGAGUACAUGAACAAUGUUUAACAGCACAAAGAACAGUGCAUUUAUGUGCUAUUUUCAAUAGGAAGUAGAAUUUGGUUUCAGAUUAUGGAAGGUACUGUACCUGUGCUGUUCAAAUCAAAUCACUGGGAUUCCUAUUAAAUUUGGUGACUUGUGUGAGCUAAUAAUAAUGAAAGUGGAAAAUAUUACAUUGCUUUGUUUUGAUAAAAUAACAAGCUCGUAAGAACAUUCAUAAUUCAAAAGGGGCCCACAAUCUCAACAUUAAAGCGGCUUUGGAGAUGAUGGUGUAACAUACAAACUAUCAGUUCAUUAUUUAUGGCAAAUUGCUCUUAAUCUGAAAGUGAAAAGAACUGUAUAGAACUGAUGUAUAUGUUGUUUAGUAGACAAUUAUGAAUUGAUAGAGUUUAUUUUGCUGUUGUUAUGCAGCACAAAAAUAGACCCUUUGAUCCACCAAUUCUGUGUGUUCUACUUGCUUUAUACUAAUCACUAAAGCUAAACACAGCUCCAAACCCAUAUUUAAGUCCGCUGACAACAUCACCAUUGUUGGCCAAAUCACUGUGGUGAAGAAUCGGCAUAUAGGAGGGAGAUUGAAAAUCUCACC